GCUGCUCGGGCUGCCCGGCCCAGAAUAGCCUCCCUUCCGGGCAGGGCUGCCCCGGCCCGCGGCGCCAGCGCCCGAAAUAGGGCUCGGCCUGGAGGCCCGGGGAAGGCGGGCGGCGGGCGCAAGGGACCGCCGCAGCUCGGGGACGCGCCGGGGAACGGGCACCCGGGUGCGCGGCAGGGAUCGGGGACCGGGAGCCGGGAAGCCGGGCGCUGGGCCAGCCGCGGGGCGGCGGGGCGGGGCGCUGACCUCACAGUCCGCGAGGAAGCCCGUCGUCGGGGGCCGGCCGCGCUGAUGGAAGGGCUGAGGAAUCCGCAGCUGGCGGCGCGAUGGGGCAAGCUCUAGAUGUCAGACGGACCUGGAUGCCCCAGAAAGCCUCUCAGGGCCAGAGAUUUGCCCGGAGUCUCCAGUUGUAGGUGAGGGGCCGAGGGGGCAGAGAGAAGGUGCUGCAGGCCCUGGUUGAGGGGAGGACCUGAGAACUCUCCUUUCAGCUCUAACAGACCACCUGGAGCUUUCUUCAUCACGCUUCCUCUCCGAUGAUGAUAAUGAUGCCGGGAUGAAAGAUGCAGAUGAGAGUCCCUUAACUUCAUAGCCCCAGCUCUCUCUAACCUGGUUGUCUGGAACAUCUGAGGGAUGGAGGCUGCCCCGCUCCUGUGUCCACUUCACCAUCAGAUAACCCAGGGCUUUGCAAAGAGCUGGCUGUUGGGCAUCCCCUGGACUUUUCCCUAGGUGACAUUGCCAAGGAACUGUGGCACUGGCCAGAUUUCCCACGCCCAGCCCCGAGGCGUCACCUUCCCCUGUCUUUUGCACAGGGAAGCUCAAAAUAAGCUUUCUAGAGGAUGUUCUUUCUUGUGUGUAGAGUCAUCUGAGGUUGCUAAUACUGAAGCUCUUCACCAGAGAAACAUAGGAAGCAUCCCUGCAGCUAAAUGAGGCAAUGUCUGUAGAGGACCAGGCCAUGCCAAGCAGGCUACAGACUCACGCUCCCUCCUCCCCAAGAGGCACUGCCCUUGGCUGUGCAGACCGCCUCUCAGCCCUGCCCUUGGCCAGGCCAUCUGCUGGGCCCAUCCCUGGGCACCUUUGAAGCCUAUCCUUUGCUCAAGUUGUCUUGGAUGGAGUAUAAUGGGGCCUUCCUCUUGUUCCUCUGCCCAAGAGCAAAGAAAGACACAUUUGUUAGGCUCUUCCUGGAAAACGCAAGGAAAGAAAAAAAAAUGUUCUUAAUUUUAGAUCCUGCAGGACCAACCAGCAGUAACAGGGUUGAAUAGUAUACCCCAAAUUCAUGUCUAUGUGGAGUCUGUGCUUGUGACCUUAUUUGGAAAUAGGGUCUUUGCAGAUGUAGUUAAAGAUGAAGUCAUACUAGAUAUGUUUGGGUCCUAAUCCAAUGACUGGAUACAAGAAGAGGGAGAUUUAGUCAUAGGAACACGGGGAAGACAGCCAUGUGAAGACAGAGGCAAAAACUGGAGUGAUGCGUCUACAAGCCAAGGAACGCUAAGGAUUGCUGGUGAUCACCAAAUGCUGGGGAGAGGCCGGGAAGGAUUCCCCCCCUAGAGACUUCAGAGGGCACAUGGCCCUGCUGAUAUCUUGAUUUGGGACCUCUGUCCUCCAGGAUGGCCAGGGGGAGACCAAGCCCAACAGCAUUCUCGUGCAGUCCUUGUCUGUUUCCCACUGAACCCUCCAGAGACCAGCAGGGAGGGCCCCUGAGACCAGAGAGCAGAGUCCUGGGCAGGCUGACUCAGUUGCUCGAAUCCCCCCUCCAAGGCCAAGAACACCUGUGAUCCUGGUUCAGGCCAGCUUUCUCCUCCCAGAGGAAAGCUCGGACCCCUGCCAUCACCUCGCCGCCGAAUCCUGGUCAGUCAUCUCCCAGUUAGCUGUGUUGCUCACAGUGGGAAGCUAGACUGGGGUGAUUCACCAUCACGCAUCACCCCAUGGAAAGCUCAUCUACAGCGCACUUCGGAGGGAUGGUACUGGGCGUUGCGUUUACAGACGGAGCUCAAAAUGUGCUGAGCAGCUUGUGCGUGCAGCAACGUGCCCAGCCCGGGCACAUCCAUUGGGGUCAAGCAUUUGGUGGGCUUCCACUGGGCGCCACCGACUGCCGGAUUUUGUGAUGAAUGUAAAAAACUGGAAGAUCCAGUGCCUGGUGCAGAGUAGGCAUUCAAUAAGUUAUCAUCGAAGGAAUGAAUAAGAGAGUUCUUCCUUCAAAGAGUUCAUAUUCCAGUCUGGAGGAAACUGGCAACCACCAAAGAGAGGCAGAAUUGGAAGAGGGAGAAGGGCUGUCUGGGCUGGUGGGAUAACCCCGAUGUGAAACGGGCUCACAGACUGUAAGCCUCUUGAAGUCUGAAUGUUUCCUCGUCGGCAGUGAUCUCUCCAGCAUUGGUCACAGUGCCCAGAACGGGGCUCCCACCUGCACUGAUAUCACCUGGGACACUGGGCAGGUAAGCACCAGGUACUCAUGCACCCUAAAGCUCAGAAACACUGCAGCCCCCAUCACACAACAUCGUGGGACCCCCACCCACAAAGAUCAUACUGUGAAUAGCACCCCCUGUGGUUGUGUACACAUCACACCAGCCUCCUGGAGGACCGGAUCCUCAUGGGUUUUAUGUUUCAUGUCUAUACCUUCAUCAUCCUGAACGUUAUGGAUACCAAAUAGCAUUUUCUGUAUGAAAAGAAGAUUUGAGAUUUGGGGGAGGGGAGGUGAAAGAGAGGAAACAUUUUCUUGUGUAAUGUAGAUAACGAGCUUGCAUUGUUUGCUUCUUCUUUUAAGUCUAGGUUUUCCACCUUUCUCUAAGGCUGGGCCUGAUUAUUACAACGAAUAGCAGCUGUGAUCGUAUUUACGAGGAAAGCGUGCAGUUUUAGUAUUCAGAGCCCUGGCUUCUCUUCAGAUGAGAGCCGGGGGCCUCUGAUUCUCUCUGCAAUGCAGCCUUCCAGGCCACUGCUGUUGCUUAAGGCUGUGCUGCAAUCCGGAGCACUCAGGAGUGGGAAGUCCAGAGUUCUCCCCACUUCUGGGAACAGCCCUCCAUCCCCCUCCCCGCGCCAGCUUCCACAGGCAGUCCUCAUGACAGUGGGUCAGGCUAACCCAGGGUUUCACAAAUGCCUGGCCUGUUCCCAGCACAGCACAGCUGGGAGGGCUCAGCACUGGGGGAAGGAGCACCAUCCCCCUCCCCCUGCCAUCCUCAGCCUGGGGCCCAGGGGCUGGAGCCCAGCAGAGGGAAGGGCUGCACUUGUCUGCACUUGCCCCAGUGUGGGCAGUGAUCCUGGGCCUUCCCUCCCUGCUGAUUUCCCAGCUCUGGCUUAGUCAAGGUUCAAGGAGGAAAUUCCCUGUCCCAGGAAGUGAGGAGGAUCCAGGCUUGUCUUCCCCAAAGGAAGCGAGUGGUCGCAGAGUCACCUGAGGAGGUGUUGAGUAUUGAGAUUCCCCACUCUCCUUGGGGCUUCUGAUUCAGAAAAGCUGGGCUUGGAGUCCGGGAAUCAGCAAUUUCAUCCACUCCCUCGGGGCUAGCCGCAGGUGGUUCUUUGGCUUUCAUGAGCCUUGGGAGGGGGGCAGCUCUGGGAGGUGAGAAGGGUUGAGCCCAAAAAGCCGUGUAUUCUCAGGUAGGACCUCCGGCUCUCUCUAAUGAGCUCCAUGACCCUGGAAUAACUGCCCUUGUAAUCCAAGUCUCACUUUCACUAUCACUGAAAUGGAUGUGUGACCCAAGGGAAGGGUGAUCAAAUGUCCUGGACAUUCAGGGAUACUAACCCAGGACAAGCUGGUCACCAUGCCUGAGGAUGAGACAGGACUGUGGAUGUUCGAGGUACUGGAAAUGUGACUUAAAGAUGAGUCUUUGCGGCACAAAUAGCAGUCUGUUUAUUUUAUUUACAUUUUAACUAGUGUCUGUCACUUCCACUAAA